CUACGGGAGGCUCCAGUGGGGAAUAUUGGACAAUGGGGGAAACCCUGAUCCAGCAAUGCCGCGUGUGUGAAGAAGGCCUGCGGGUUGUAAAGCACUUUCGGUUGGGAGGACUGCUUCUAGCACUAAUAUUGUUGGAAGUUGACGUUACCUUCAGAAGAAGCACCGGCUAACUCCGUGCCAGCAGCCGCGGUAAUACGGAGGGUGCAAGCGUUAAUCGGAAUUACUGGGCGUAAAGCGCGCGUAGGCGGCUAGAUCAGUCGGGUGUGAAAGCCCCGGGCUUAACCUGGGAACUGCAUCCGAUACUGUCUAGCUUGAGUACAGGAAAGGAGAGUGGAAUUCCACAUGUAGCGGUGAAAUGCGUAGAUAUGUGGAGGAACACCAAUGGUGAAGGCAGCUCUCUGGCCUGAUACUGACGCUGAGGUGCGAAAGCGUGGGGAGCAAACGGGAUUAGAUACCCGCGUAGUC
rnacentral:rRNA from 1 species